GUUUACCCUAGCUAAACGGGUAUGAAUUCGGUUAUGGAUAUAGAAAAUAAAAACCCAACGGAUAUGGAUACGGGUAUUGAUUUUGUAUUUAUCCGACCCGAACCCGAAUCCAAAUAAAUUAUAUAUAUACAUAAUUUAUUUUUAUUUAUUUAUAUAAUAUAUAAAAUAUUUAAUAAUUUUUAUUCUUUAGAUUUUCAUUCAACGGUAUGAAUUUUUAAUAUUCGCUGGGUUCGGAUCUGGGUAGGGGUUUUGGAUUUUUGGUCGGAUACGGAUAUGGGUAUGGAUUUUUAAAAUCCACCGAAUCCGGAUCCGGGUACGGAUUUUAAUUUGAUUUUCGGAUUCGGAUUCAGAUUUUUAAAAACCUGAUCCAAACCCGACCCGUUGACAUUCCUCCUGGUGUGCAUCUCCACUA
rnacentral:lncRNA from 1 species